UACCCAUGUCUUUCGUCACUCGUGCACGUAACCCCUUGAGAUCAGAAGGACUAUGUCUUGUUCCCUUCAACACAUAAAGAAGACCGGAUAGAUAUCAACGAAUUUGUUCUGCGAAACGUGGCUUGCCACCGAAAGAGAAGUCGGAGGUAUAAAAAGGGCCAGGGGGGUUUCGUUCUUCACCACACAGAAGCAGCACAAAGAACACAGCCUCAUAGAUAGCACGAGGUAUCAGAGCAGCAAGCACUUAUCAUGGCUCAUUCACGCGAACUUGCCAAAAUUGCAGAGGAAGCCUUCGCCAUGUUAGAAGAGGGCAUCGCCAAGAAGAAGGCUAGGCAACCUCUGAUUCCUCAAGCACCUCCCCAGAAGCCCAUGGACUGCUUUGAGGCGGCUAAAGCGUACGGUGGCAUGCUAAUGGUGGAUUUUCACGGCAGGAACUUCUUGGCGGCAACGUCACCACUGCCACGGCGCUCUCCUCUCCCAUUAGCUAGGUUCAACUAAGUAUGAAAUACGUAUUUUGUAUAUGUAUUGUGGACAACAUGUAUAACUCUAUAUAGCUAAUCCUAAGAGUUACUGCAGACCUGGGAUUAGCGUCGAUACCCUUCUCUUAAGGGUUAUCGCACUUUGGAUGUCUUAAAAAGCUCCACUGUUAUUGUAUAGUAAUUAAGUGCAGUAAUACAUCUUAAUUAUGUUGCACUA